GCCCAGGAGGCGUGGCUCGCAGCCUCAGGGUUUGUGGUAAUAGGCUAAGUUUCCCGGUUGUCUCUGGCCAAUCAUCUUGUUUGUUCCCGUAUUUGGUCCGACUCAGGGCCUCCCUCGCUGCGGACUCAGUCAAGAUGAGUUCCAGCGCCAGAGCUUCUGGGAGGACAUAUUAUAGGCUGACAUCGCCUUCUGCUUUGGCUCCUCCCGAGUUCUUCUGGUCUGGCAGCAGCUUGUCUGCACUGUGUUCUUUAUCAGGACCUCCUGUUGAGAAACAACUCGUACAAAGGGUUACUGUCGUGCCUGAUUGGGAACUGCUACUGUGGCCAUUUGUGACCAGCUGAGGAUGAAGCCAGUGCUGGAGAGGACAGAGAGAAGAGCUCGAAAGAACCUGGCUUCUUCAUAACAUUGCUGAGUGGCUGGAUCCACCUGCCUUUGAAGCUCUUGAUCUCUCUGCCAACUUUCAUGUUACCUGAGAUAAUAAACUCUUUAUUGUUUG
ensembl:lncRNA